rfam:Myotis lucifugus cont2.46508, whole genome shotgun sequence.
GGCAAUCGUGUGAUGUACCCUGGAAUCAGGCUCCCUCCUCGCUGGUUCCAGGUGCAUCACCCAAGAACCGCA